GUGCCAGCAGCCGCGGUAAUACGAAGGGGGCUAGCGUUGCUCGGAAUUACUGGGCGUAAAGGGCGCGUAGGCGGCGCAGUUAGUCAGGCGUGAAAUUCCUGGGCUCAACCUGGGGACUGCGCUUGAUACGGCUGUGCUAGAGGAUGGAAGAGGCUCGCGGAAUUCCCAGUGUAGAGGUGAAAUUCGUAGAUAUUGGGAAGAACACCGGUGGCGAAGGCGGCGAGCUGGUCCAUUACUGACGCUGAGGCGCGACAGCGUGGGGAGCAAACAGGAUUAGAAACCCGGGUAGUCC
rnacentral:rRNA from 1 species